UCGUCAGCUCGUGUCGUGAGAUGUCGGGUUAAGUCCCUUAACGAGCGAAACCUUUGCCCUUAGUUACCAGCGGGUUAUGCCGGGGACUCUAAGGGGACUGCCGGUGUCAAACCGGAGGAAGGUGGAGAUGACGUCAAGUCCUCAUGGCCUUUAUGCCCAGGGCUACACACGUGCUACAAUGGCAGUGACAAUGGGCUGCGACCUCGCGAGGGGUA
rnacentral:rRNA from 1 species